rnacentral:rRNA from 1 species
GACGAACGCUGGCGGCGUGCUUAACACAUGCAAGUCGAACGGAAAGGCCCCUUUGUGGUUCCUCGAGUAGCGAACGGGUGAGUAACACUUGAGUAACCUGCCCUUGACUUCGGGAUAACUUCAGGAAACUGGGGCUAAUACCGGAUAGGAAUCCUUGCUUCAUGCUGGGGGUUGGAAAGCUUCGGCGGUUUUUGAUUGACUCGCGGCUUAUCAGCUUGUUUGUGGGCUAGUGGCUGACCAAGGCUUUGACGGGUAGCCGGCAUGAGAGGGCGCCCGGGCACCUUGGGACUGAGAUACGGCCCAGACGCGUACGGGAGGCAGCAGUGGAGAAUAUUGCACAAUGGGCGGAAGCCUGAGGCAGCAACGCCGCGUGCGUGAUGACGGCCUUCGGGUUGUAAACCGCUUUCAGCAGGGGAGAAGCUUGUGGUGACGGUACCUGCAGAAGAAGCACCGGCUAACUACGUG